GGUAGUCCGCACCUAUCCCUUAUAACUGCCACCGCAUUGGUGCGCCCCUCGGAGAAAAGUCAUAAUGACAACUGAAAUUGUCACCGGUGACAUGUAGGAUUAGAUGUCAAAGGAAAGGAGAUGAAAAUCAUACAUGAGAGUCAAGUGAACUGAAUUUGUGAAUUUAUAAAACUUUAUUUCCCUAAUUUCUAUAACAAACAAAUUGUGGCAUACAGCCUGUAAAAACUGUUAUUAUCUCGUCAGUUGAGCAACGUUUGUCAGUUGAGGUUAUAAGAUCCGUAUAACGGCCUCACUGGUGCUCAUCGUAGCUUGUUGGGUUUACCAAAAGGGGAAAAGAAGACCAAUCUUUUAGCUCUCACACAAGUUACACACAAACGAAGGUGUUUGCUCAGGAGACUUCUCGAAACCCCACCACCCAACACUGACGAA